UACGUAGGGGGCUAGCGUUGUCCGGAAUCAUUGGGCGUAAAGCGCGUGUAGGCGGUUCGGUAAGUCCGCUGUGAAAGUCGGGGGCUCAACCCUCGGAUGCCGGUGGAAACUGUCGGACUAGAGUACGGAAGAGGCGAGUGGAAUUCCUGGUGUAGCGGUGAAAUGCGCAGAUAUCAGGAGGAACACCGAUUGCGAAGGCAGCUCGCUGGGACGUUACUGACGCUGAGACGCGAAAGCGUGGGGAGCAAACAGG
rnacentral:rRNA from 1 species